UGCCAGCCGCCGCGGUAAUGCGGAGGGUGUAAGCGUUAAUCGGAAUUACUGGGCGUAAAGCGCGCGUAGGCGGUUACAUAAGUUGGAGGUGAAAUCCCCGGGCUCAACCUGGGAACUGCUUUCAAAACUGUGUGACUAGAGUGCAGCAGAGGAUAGUGGAAUUUCUAGUGUAGCGGUGAAAUGCGUAGAUAUUAGAAGGAACACCAGUGGCGAAGGCGACUGUCUGGGCUGACACUGACGCUGAGGUGCGAAAGCGUGGGGAGCAAACAGGAUUAGAUA
rnacentral:rRNA from 1 species